GAGUUUGAUCCUGGCUCAGAUUGAACGCUGGCGGCAGGCCUAACACAUGCAAGUCGGGCGGUAGAGAGAAGCUUGCUUCUCUUGAGAGCGGCGGACGGGUGAGUAAUGCCUAGGAAUCUGCCUGGUAGUGGGGGAUAACGCUCGGAAACGGACGCUAAUACCGCAUACGUCCUACGGGAGAAAGCAGGGGACCUUCGGGCCUUGCGCUAUCAGAUGAGCCUAGGUCGGAUUAGCUAGUUGGUGAGGUAAUGGCUCACCAAGGCGACGAUCCGUAACUGGUCUGAGAGGAUGAUCAGUCACACUGGAACUGAGACACGGUCCAGACUCCUACGGGAGGCAGCAGUGGGGAAUAUUGGACAAUGGGCGAAAGCCUGAUCCAGCCAUGCCGCGUGUGUGAAGAAGGUCUUCGGAUUGUAAAGCACUUUAAGUUGGGAGGAAGGGCAGUAAAUUAAUACUUUUGCUGUUUUUGACGUUACCGACAGAAUAAGCACCGGCUAACUCUGUGCCAGCAG
rnacentral:rRNA from 1 species